ACUCCUACGGGAGGCAGCAGUGGGGAAUAUUGCACAAUGGGCGCAAGCCUGAUGCAGCGACGCCGCGUGAGGGAUGACGGCCUUCGGGUUGUAAACCUCUUUCAGCAGGGAAGAAGCGAAAGUGACGGAUACCUGCAGAAGAAGCGCCGGCUAACUACGUGCCAGCAGCCGCGGUAAUACGUAGGGCGCAAGCGUUGUCCGGAAUUAUUGGGGCGUAAAGAGCUCGUAGGCGGUUUGUCGCGUCUGCUGUGAAAGCCCGGGGCUUAACCCCGGGUGUGCAGUGGGUACGGGCAGGCUAGAGUGCAGUAGGGGAGACUGGAAUUCCUGGUGUAGCGGUGAAAUUGCGCAGAUAUCAGGAGGAACACCGAUGGCGAAGGCAGGUCUCUGGGCUGUUACUGACGCUGAGGAGCGAAAGCAUGGGGAGCGAACAGGAUUAGAUACCCUGGUAGCGUCGUCU
rnacentral:rRNA from 1 species